rnacentral:rRNA from 1 species
AUUGAACGCUGGCGGCAGGCCUAACACAUGCAAGUCGAACGAGUGGCGGACGGGUGAGUAAUGUCUGGGCAACUGCCUGAUGGAGGGGGAUAACUACUGGAAACGGUAGCUAAUACCGCAUACCAUCGGAUGUGCCCAGAUGGGAUUAGCUUGUAGGUGAGGUAACGGCUCACCUAGGCGACGAUCCCUAGCUGGUCUGAGAGGAUGACCCGCCACACGGGAACGGAGACACGGUCCAAACUCCUACGGGAGGCAGCAGUGGGGAAUAUUGGACAAGGGGCGAAAGCCUGAUCCAGCCAUGCCGCGUGUGUGAAGAAGGGCUUCGGAGUGUAAAGCAUUUUAAGUUGGGAGGCGUUACCAACAGAAUAAGCACCGGCUAACUCCGUGCCAGCAGCCGCGGUAAUAC